rnacentral:rRNA from 1 species
AUUGAACGCUGGCGGCAGGCUUAACACAUGCAAGUCGAGCGGAGUGAUGGUGCUUGCACUAUCACUUAGCGGCGGACGGGUGAGUAAUGCUUAGGAAUCUGCCUAUUAGUUGGGGACAACAUCUCGAAAGGGAUGCUAAUACCGCAUACGUCCUACGGGAGAAAGCAGGGGAUCACUUGUGACCUUGCGCUAAUAGAUGAGCCUAAGUCGGAUUAGCUAGUUGGUGGGGUAAAGGCCUACCAAGGCGACAAUCUGUAGCGGGUCUGAGUGGAUGAUCCGCCACACUGGGACUGAGACACGGCCCAGACUCCUACGGGAGGCAGCAGUGGGGAAUAUUGGACAAUGGGGGGAACCCUGAUCCAGCCAUGCCGCGUGUGUGAAGAAGGCCUUAUGGUUGUAAAGCACUUUAAGCGAGGAGGAGGCUUACCUAGUUAAUACCUGGGAUAAGUGGACGUUACUCGCAGAAUAAGCACCGGCUAACUCUGUGCCAGCCGCCGCAGUAAGAC